rnacentral:rRNA from 1 species
CUGCAAUGUGCAAGAGCUGAGUUUAGCAGAACAUUCUGGAAAGUAUAGCCAUAGAGGGUGAUAGUCCCGUAUGCGAAAAACAAAGCUUAGCUAGCAGUAUCCUGAGUAGGGCGGGACACGAGGAAUCCUGUCUGAAUCCGGGUCGACCACGAUCCAACCCUAAAUACUAAUACCAGAUCGAUAGUGCACAAGUACCGUGAGGGAAAGGUGAAAAGAACUGAGGUGAUCAGAGUGAAAUAGAACCUGAAACCAUUUGCUUACAAUCAUUCAGAGCACUAUGUAGCAAUACAGUGUGAUGGACUGCCUUUUGCAUAAUGAGCCUGCGAGUUGUGGUGUCUGGCAAGGUUAAGCAAACGCGAAGCCGUAGCGAAAGCGAGUCUGAAUAGGGCGCUUAGUCAGAUGCUGCAGACCCGAAACGAAGUGAUCUAUCCAUGAGCAAGUUGAAGCUAGUGUAAGAACUAGUGGAGGACUGAACCCAUAGGCGUUGAAAAGCCCCGGGAUGACUUGUGGAUAGGGGUGAAAGGCCAAUCAAACUUCGUGAUAGCUGGUUCUCUCCGAAAUAUAUUUAGGUAUAGCGUUGUGUCGUAAUAUAAGGGGGUAGAGCACUGAAUGGGCUAGGGCAUACACCAAUGUACCAAACCCUAUCAAACUCCGAAUACCUUAUAUGUAAUCACAGCAGUCAGGCGGCGAGUGAUAAAAUCCGUCGUCAAGAGGGAAACAACCCAGACUACCAGCUAAGGUCCCUAAAUCUUACUUAAGUGGAAAACGAUGUGAAGUUACUUAAACAACCAGGAGGUUGGCUUAGAAGCAGCCAUCCUUUAAAGAAAGCGUAAUAGCUCACUGGUCUAGUGAUUUUGCGCGGAAAAUAUAACGGGGCUAAAGUAAGUACCGAAGCUGUAGACUUGCGCACAACUUAGAUUAUUUAAGUUUAGAAUAUGAGAAACUAAGUUAUAUUUUUACUGAUUUUUAUAGAGUAAAGAUAGAAAUAAAACUUAGUAAAAUCAGUAAAAAUAUUCUUAGGCUAAAGUUAAGUAGUUUAAGUUGUGUGCAAGUGGUAGGAGAGCGUUCUAUUUGCGUCGAAGGUAUACCGGUAAGGAGUGCUGGAGCGAAUAGAAGUGAGCAUGCAGGCAUGAGUAGCGAUAAUUAAUGUGAGAAUCAUUAACGCCGUAAACCCAAGGUUUCCUACGCGAUGCUCGUCAUCGUAGGGUUAGUCGGGUCCUAAGUCGAGUCCGAAAGGGGUAGACGAUGGCAAAUUGGUUAAUAUUCCAAUACCAACAUUAGUGUGCGAUGGAAGGACGCUUAGGGCUAAGGGGGCUAGCGGAUGGAAGUGCUAGUCUAAGGUCGUAGGAGGUUAUACAGGCAAAUCCGUAUAACAAUACUCCGAGAACUGAAAGGCUUUUUGAAGUCUUCGGAUGGAUAGAAGAACCCCUGAUGCCGUCGAGCCAAGAAAAGUUUCUAAGUUUAGCUAAUGUUGCCCGUACCGUAAACCGACACAGGUGGGUGGGAUGAGUAUUCUAAGGCGCGUGGAAGAACUCUCUUUAAGGAACUCUGCAAAAUAGCACCGUAUCUUC